ensembl:lncRNA
GAGAAUCAUGCCCAAGCGCAUCACAAACCCUGCAACUCCUCUCCCUCACCUAGCCUUUAAAUGCUUCCCCAAAACCUACUGCGCAGUUUGGGCUUUUUGAGCAUGAGCUGCCCUGGAUUCCUCAUCUGGCACCUUACAAGAAAUUCUGCACUUUCCUGGACUAUAACAGGUGACGCUGCUGUUGGUCCAGGGACCACACUUUGAGAACCACUGCUCUCUACCAAAGCCUGUGUCACAUGACCAACACAACACCAUGGCCAGAUAUGGGGAGAGGAGGGAAGCUUCAUUCUACUCAUUCUAGAGCUCAAGAAGCCACCUUCUGCCAACUAUUUCAUUCUGGACCAAGAGAUUAAUGAAAUCAUGGCUAUUGUGAAAAGGAACCUAG